AACGUAGGGGGCGAGCGUUGUCCGGAAUUACUGGGCGUAAAGAGCUCGUAGGCGGUAGUUCAAGUCAGGUGUGAAAUCCGACGGCUUAACCGGAGGGCUGCACCUGAUACUGGGCUGCUAGAGGUAAGGAGAGGAAGGUGGAAUUCCCGGUGUAGCGGUGAAAUGCGUAGAGAUCAGGAGGAACACCGAUGGCGAAGGCAGCCCCCUGGGCCUGUACUGACGCUCAUGCACGAAAGCGUGGGGAGCAAACAGG
rnacentral:rRNA from 1 species